AGUCUCUGCGCGAGCCGAGAUCAGCGAUUGUCAGUUCGGAACGUGGCUUUUAAAAAUGCGUUUUUAAAUAGUGUCUUGAAGAAGUGUAGGAGAGAUCUACACAACUUAAGUGGGGCGUCCCCAUCCCAUCUUCCUGCGCACCCUCCUUUGCCCCCAACUCCAUCUCUGCGACACUUCCCCACCCCCACUCCCCCCAAAAAGUCGCUCCCGGGCUCUGUCUGCAGAGAGCCAGGGUGAGAGCGGGCAAGGCAAAAGAGCGACCUCGGUCGUGGGCAAGUAGCUUGUUUUUACGUCCCUCAAUAAAAUUUUUAUGAGGAUCA
rnacentral:lncRNA from 1 species